rnacentral:rRNA from 1 species
UACGAAGGGGGCUAGCGUUGCUCGGAAUCACUGGGCGUAAAGGGCUUGUAGGUGGCCAACUAAGUCAGACGUGAAAUCCCUCAGCUUAACUGGGGAACUGCGUCUGAUACUGGAUGGCUUGAGUUUGGGAGAGGGAUGCGGAAUUCCAGGUGUAGCGGUGAAAUGCGUAGAUAUCUGGAGGAACACCGGUGGCGAAGGCGGCAUCCUGGACCAACACUGACACUGAGGAGCGAAAGCCAGGGGAGCAAACGGG